rnacentral:rRNA from 1 species
AGUGAACGCUGGCGGUAGGCCUAACACAUGCAAGUCGAACGGCAGCACAGUAAGAGCUUGCUCUUACGGGUGGCGAGUGGCGGACGGGUGAGGAAUACAUCGGCAUCUACUUUUUCGUGGGGGAUAACGUAGGGAAACUUACGCUAAUACCGCAUACGACCUACGGGUGAAAGCAGGGGAUCUUCGGACCUUGCGCGAUUGAAUGAGCCGAUGUCGGAUUAGCUAGUUGGCGGGGUAAAGGCCCACCAAGGCGACGAUCCGUAGCUGGUCUGAGAGGAUGAUCAGCCACACUGGAACUGAGACACGGUCCAGACUCCUACGGGAGGCAGCAGUGGGGAAUAUUGGACAAUGGGCGCAAGCCUGAUCCAGCCAUACCGCGUGGGUGAAGAAGGCCUUCGGGUUGUAAAGCCCUUUUGUUGGGAAAGAAAAGCAGCAGGUUAAUACCCCGCUGUUCUGACGGUACCCAAAGAAUAAGCACCGGCUAACUACGUG